AGACACCCCGACUCCCCUUGAUCCCGCCGCCUGACUCCUCGGCCUGGGAGACAGGAAAAGCGGUCCUGUUUGGGAACAGUAAAAGCAGGGCAAGGAAAGGAAGGAGCGGCAGAAAGGAGGGGUGAGUCGAGGACACAGGGGCAGCCGGAGAAUGCGGAGGAGCCGGGUCCUGAGCGCGGUCUAAGCGAGGCUCGGCUCUCGUCCAGGAACUCGGACGCGGGCUCGCCGGCUCUCCGCGCGCGGGAAGUCGAGCCCAGGACGCCGCCUUCAGGCCGGCGCGCUGACCCGGUGCCCCGACCCGGAGCCUGCGGUCUGCCUGGAUCCGUCCUAAACCUCGCGGGCUGGACCCGCGGCCUGAGUGGGUGGGUGUGUGCCAGAGGAUUCGGGACUAGGCCCAGCUCCGGGAACCUGGAAAUGUGGCCCGCUUCUCAGUGGCUUCCUGUUCAUGCGCUUGGGCCUAGUGGCCUAGUUGAAGAAGUGGAACCACAGCGUGAGCCGACAGGGCCUUACAGAUCAGACGUCAAGCCCCCCAGACCUUACAGGGGAGGAAAGUGAGGCCUGCACUGGCCGAGCCACCCACUUAAGGCGGUGCGGUAGCCUAGAGGAGCGGCAGACUUCUCUUUCCCCAUCCCCCGCCCCAUCACUUGACGUUGCUGCCGGACCUCGGUACAAACCCAAGACAAAACGGGGCCCUUUGGAAAAAGUGAGAUUUAGCGAUCACUCUUACGUAGCCACUCUAAAUAUCUAUCUAGAUAUUUACAAAUGCACCUCCCCGGUAGGUAGAUUUCACUCAGAAUUUACCCAACACCGUGCUUUGUGCUGGGGCCACAUGCCACCUUUCUGUCUAGUAUGGCUGCUCUUUCUCCCUCUUCGCAAAUAUAGCUCUUUUUCCUUCAGGUCUCUUCUGAAGUAAGUAGCCCUUCCUCAGAAAUGCUUCCCUUUUCAGGCACCCUCAUACCACCGUGAUUUUUUUCUUUAUAGCACUUAGGACGAAGAGAUUAUUUUACUUAUGUACUUGUUUACUUGUUUGUUGUGUAGAAUGUCAGCUCUAUGGGAACCAGAUCCUUUUAUGGGUCUUCCUCUGCACCUAUGCCACGCCCCCAGCAUUCCCCUCCUACCACCACCUUCAGCCGGCCUCCGCCUCUGUAGGGGGGCAUUAGGUUUUCUGUCCCACAGAGGAAGGGCGCUUUAGAAAGGGUUAGUUCAUCCUGGAAGAAAAACGAUGUCGGAUGCCAGCAUAGUGUCAUUUAAAGAUACUGGAGGAAUGGAGUGGGAGCGGUGAGGGUUUCUUGGGCCUAGACAAUGUAACUAGUUGUUGCAAUAAAGCAUGGUGGGGAAAGGAGAAAAGGCACGUAUUAAACAUCUUUUGAAGUCGCUAUCUAUAUCAGUCAGUUCUCCAGGGAAACAGAACCCAUUGUGUGUGUGUGCGUGCCAGUACCACACAUAUGUAUAUGUAUAUACACACCGUCAUGGGGUUGCUUAACAACAGGGAUACAUUCUCAGACAUGUAUCUUUAGGCGAUUUCAUUGUUGUGCAAACAUCAUAUACAAACCUAGGUGGUAUAGUCUAUUAUACAUCUAGGCUGUAUGGUAUGGGCUAUUGCUCCUAGGCUGCAAACCUUUACAACAUGUUACUAUACUGAAUACUGUAGAUAAUUGUAACAAAAUGUAGUUUUAUAUCUAAACACAUCUAAACAUAGAAAAGGUAGUAUGUUGUGCUACAACUUUAGGACAGCUAUGACAUCACUAGGGGAUAGGAAUUUUUCACAUCCAUUAUAAUCUUAUGGGACACCACCAAUAUGUGACUGUGGUUGACUGAAGCAUCGUUAUCCAGCACAUGACUCUGUGUGUGUAUACAAUUUUAUAUAUACGUACAUUAUAUGUCUACACACACAUAUGUGGGGGAGAGAAAGAGAGGGAGGGAGAGAGAGAGAGAGAGAGAGAGAAAGAGAAAGAGAGAAAAUACUUAUUUUAAGGAAUUGUCUCAGAAAAUGGUGGGGGUUGACAAAUUGGAGACCCAGGGAAGAGUUGUUGUUGCAAGACUUGAAUCCAAAGGCAAUCUGGAAGCAGAAUUUCUUCUUCCUUGAGGGACCUCAGUCAUUUCUCUUAAGCUCUUCAACUGCUUGGAUGAGGACCACCCAUAUUAUUGAGGAUAAUCUGCUUUUUCAAGUCUACUGACUUAAAUGUUAAUCAUAUCUAAAAAAUACCUCCACAGCAAUAUUUAGACUGGUGUUUGACUCAAACACUGGGUACCACAGCCUAGCCAAGUUGACAUACCAAAUUAACUGUCACAUUAUCCCGUCAUGCCUGAGGGGUUCUCUGACCCUCAGUUUUCUGAGGAUCAAAUUUAAAUUGAGGGAUCUAUCUUUGUUUAUUGGAGCCAUAUAGCUCAAAGUAUAAUCAUUUUCUCUCCACAGGAACUAGACCUAGGGAUAAGGGUAAUUGCUUAUUUCAGAGGAAUGCCAUCUGAAUAAAAGGAUAAUUAUAUAGUAAGCUCUCUGUUCAAAAAAUGUAAAUAUUAAAGUUUGAACAUCUAAAUUCCAUCUUGGUUUCCCCCACUGCCGCUGCCCAAUACCUGUUCUCUUUCAGUUGCAGUAUGCAGGGGAAUUCUAAGUUUAAUAUUAGUCUCAGCAAAAUACAAUGGUGAAGAUGACUCUUUCUAGCAUAACAAUGGGUAUGUGGUAUUCCAAAUACUUUUGGAAUGCGGAGUGACUAUUGGCUAUGUGCUCUUCAAAAAAUUAAUAAUGAAGAACUGAGCAUGUAAUUUCACUUAUAUUACUUAUUUUAUCCUCACAGUGGCCUUUCAAAAUUGGGAUUAUUACUCCUGUUUUACAGGUGGAAAGAAUGAGGCCUAGAAAGGCUCAAAUCUUGAACACUUCAUGGCCAGCAAGAGCCAGGGCUGGAAUCAUCAGGCAGGCCUUUGGGUUACAAGCCUUGUGCCUUUUCUGUUGUCCCAAAGGCCAGGGUCAAUAGGGAGUGAGUUAUCUGUGGGUCACUUAUGCAGACAGAAUCACUGAAUAUUGGAAGUUUUUGGGGUUCUCUUCCACUGGCCUAAAAACCUGAGUUAAUUGAGUUUUUUUUAACAGGGGUAAAUAAUUUUCUGUUUUAGAUCAGCAAAUUCAUUCCAUAGGCAGGGAUAGGGGAGAAAAAUCUUACUGAAUAUCCCUUGUCUUGUUCUCCUCCUCCCCAAACUUAAUGUCCUAUGACACUAGCUUUAUCCCUUAGGUAACUCUUGAUUAUCCAAAUUUCAUGAGAAACUUUCCUAACAUUGCACAUGCUCAAACUCAAAACCCCAAAGUCAUAAGAAAAAAGAUAACAUAAGCAAGAAUAAAAAACAAUUAUUUGAUCAUAUAUGUCAAAAGAUUAAUUACUAGACUAUAUAAAUAAAUACAUAAUCCAGUAAAACAACAAUCCAAUAAAAAAGGCAAAGGAUAUAAUAGUUUAUAGUAGAAUAUGUGCAAAUAGUAAAAAAUAAAAAGAUAAUCUUACUCAUUAAUAAAUGUAAACAGAAACAAUGGCAUAUAACCACAAGUGUGGCAAAAAGAAAAAAGACUACUUUGACAAAGUUGUCAGGAAACAAUCACUCUUACUAUUACAACUUGGUGUAAUUGUUUUGAAAGGCAGCAUUACAAUAUCUAGUCAAAACUGUAUGAGAAUAUAGGUACCCUUUGACUCAGCUAUUCCACUAUUUUAAGUAUGUAAAGACACACACAAAUAAUGUAUGGAAAUAUAUAUACACAUAUAUACUAUAUAGUAUAUAUAGUUCAUAUGUAUGUUAUAUGUUUGUGUAUAUAUCUAUAUACUUAUAUACACCCUUUGACUCAGCAAUUCUAUUCCUAUAACUCAUGUAUGUAACAUAUAUAAUACAUAUCUUUAUAUACACAUAUGUACACACAUAUCUGUAAGUAUGGGAAGAUGUAUACACAUGUACACAUAUAUAUACAUACAUAUGUAUAUAUGUAUUUUAUGUAUGGAUACAUAUGUAUAUAUGGAUAGAUUUUACACCUACAGACACAUUUAGAUAUGUAACUUCAGCUAAAGCAAUUCACUCCUAUAUAAAUUGCUACAGAUAACUUGUAUAAGUAUGCAGAAAUGUUUCUUUAUAGCAGUGUGUAUUAGCAAACAAAGUGCAAGAAAGAGAAAAAUGAUUGACAUGCUUGUGAGGAGACUUUUUUUGUUGUUGUUGUUGUUAGGGCUCAUUCAUAAAAUAAUAAAACUGUGCAUCCAUAAACAAUAAUGAAGCACAUCUAUAUGCACUGACAAUGGAAGUUGUCAAAGAUCUAUUGCUAAUUAAAGAAAGCAAGUGACAGAAUAGUAUGAUCCCAUUCAUGUUUUCCAAAUAUGCAUGCUGGGGGAGAGAUGUUUGCAAUUAUAUGUACUUAUAUUUCUGGAAGGAUAAUUAAAUAUUUGUAAUAGUGGUUACCUUUGGGUAGUAAGAAUGAGGGUGGGAAAAAUUUCAGAUUUUUGCUUACUACUUUUUGCUUUCUGGACUGUUUGAAAGUUUACCAUGAGCAAGAAUUAUUAAAUAACAACCACAGGAAUAUUGGGGCUCAAACCUAGAGAUUCUAAUUUUGUAGACCUGGAGCUGAUCAACAAGUCUAAAUGUUAAAACAUCCUCACGGGUGAUUCUGACAUGGAGCCAGGAUUGAGAAACAAUUUUCUGAAAUGGAAGGGGUUUUAAACUUGUUGUCCUCAAAUGACUACUGAGGCAAACACCAUUCUUAUAGACAUAAGACAUACUUGGGAGCAAAUGUAUAAUAAAGUGGUAUGCUUCCCUAGAAAGGGGACGACCUUAAAUCUUUCUGUUUAUGGUGGUAUUUAAACAUAUUAAAAACUACUAAUUUUGGAAUAGUCUUACUGUGAUAAGUCUAACUAUCAAAGGCAGUCCAGAGAUUAGCAAAUAAUAGAGGAUGAUCAAAUGUUUUUCAGAAAAUAUUAUAGGUGGCACUUUGGCAGGAGAUUCUGAGAAUGGUGAGAGGGUGCCUCUGUGCCCUAGGAAAGGUGAUAGAGCUUAGAAACUCAGAACUCAGAUGGAAUGAGGAGCCAUGCCAUAUACAUCUUUACAACAGUCACCCUCUAGAAGAAAACUCUGUGUUGACAAUAAUCUGCUGACUUGUCUGUGGGUUUUUGAACAGAAUAAACUGUUUCUUCUUU
rnacentral:lncRNA from 1 species